rnacentral:lncRNA from 1 species
CAAGUUGCAACCUUACUUGAGGCAAAAAAAUGGCGUGAACGCUACUGGCCCAAAGGCCUUAUAGGAUUUAAUGGACUUCAAAGGCCUCCCAAAUGUCAUUAUAAUUAUUAUCAUAAAUAAAUAAGAUUAUAGUGUUCGGUGGUGUAGGCGUAGGCGUCGAUGAGCAGGCUGUUGUUGGUUUUUAAUUAUCUAAUUUGGUCUGAGCUUCCAUCUUGCAAGCAAGGAGGACUUUGAAACUUUUCUUUGAGGUGAAGAAAGGAAGGACUGGAAGCAAUGGAGAAGGGGUAUCUGCCGAAAGUCACACCGGAGUUUGAUGUGUUUGGAGAAGAAGAUGAUGACAUAGCUUGAGGUUUUGUGAAGUCACAUGGGUCUGCUCCUGCUGUACUAUACAGUCAGCUUUAAUUUGAAAAUUUGGGGAAUGGGCCAAUAGGUGGCGAUGGAUCUUAUAGAGGAUGGGGGUGUAAUGGGACCCAUAGGUUUAGUAGAUGGAUAUUAAACAUUUUGUGUACUUUGGGUUUUUAUUGGUUCUUACUGGGGGUAAUGUUUGUUGGGGUUUUUUUUUUUUUGGGGGGGGGGGGGGGGCUUUAGCUUCUUGCUAAUGUUCAAACUUUAUUGUAACCGUUUAUGAUUUUUAAUAAAGCGAAAACUUAUCAAAAAA